AACGAACGCUGGCGGCAUGCCUAAUACAUGCAAGUAGAACGAGGCCUUCGGGUCCUGGGGCGCACGGGUUCGUAACGGGAGGGAACCUUCCCUUAGGUUCGGCAUACCUCCUCGCAGGGGAUGCCUAUACGAGACAAUAUCUACUGCCGAAAGAUUUAUCGCCUCAGGUUGGGCUCGUGUUGAAUUAGCUAUUUGGUAGGGUAAAGGCCUACCAAGGCGACGUUCCAUAGCUGGUCUGAGAGGAUGAUCCGCCACACUGGGGCUGGCACCCGGCCCAGACUCCUACGGGUGGCAGCAGUCGGGACUAUUCAACGAUGGGCGAAAGCCUGAGCCAUCAAUGCCGCGUAAGUGAUGAAGGCCUUAGGGUUGUAAAGCUCUUUUAACCGUGAUGAUAAUGACAGUACCGUGAGAGUAAGCGCCGGCUAACUCCGUG
rnacentral:rRNA from 1 species